GAGGUGUGAAGGAGAGAGUGUUGGAUUCGUGACUUUUCCAGUAAAUGGGUUUUGGCUUCUCGUCUGAUUCAGUGAUCGAAGGAGCUGAACAAAACCCAUCGUCGCUUUUCGAAGCUUUAACGAAAAGACCUUCGCGAAGGUAACAAUAACAAAUGAAGAUACGGAGGAGACGUCGACUCAACCGAGGGAGUCGUAAUCCGUCGUCUGUAUCGAUCCUUCUUAUGUGACGGAGUAAACGAAACAACUAGAAAAGAAAAGAAAAAAAGAAAAAAAAAAUCUGUGGGACUGACACGUAGUUCUUAAAAUCGGUCACCAAAGUGCCCCGUUAGACCACAUGCAACGCGGGAUGUAACCUAUUCCUUAGCGCUAAGUACAAUUUAGGAGAAAAUAAUAUUAUUAAAUUAGCUUACGCUAAGAAAGAAUCCUUAAAUAAGGAUUUUUUGGCUUUGAUCCUAAAUGAGCUGGCAACAUCUGAUUGGUGGGGUGAAGCGUUGCGUUUCGUAUGGGGGAAGGGAAAGUUUCAUUUACGCGGCUCGAGCUAAAAAAAAACUUCUCCUUCUCUAAAGGCGACGACAAAGGUGAUUCAGCGAUCUGCUUCGUUUUAGGUAAAUACGGCCAAAUCCGACCGUUUAAACUCACUAUUCUUUCUUAUGGAGUAGAUGCAUGUAGAUUUCUCCUGUUUUUAUGGAUUCGAUUCAUGGGUUUCAAUAGAUUUCGGGUUUCAUUAUCGAUUGGGGAUUAAAUUCGAAUUAGGGUUUCUGUCGGGGUUUGCCAAUCUCUUCUUUUCGAUAUUGUUCUUGGUUAUUUUGGAGGAUUUAAGGGUCCGUGAUUGAGCUGUCAUUCGAUGUUGGCUUUUAUAAAUCGAUUUAGGGUUUUAUAAUUUGGGGCUUUUGAUGAUUCGCUUAUAUUUUUUUUGUUCUUUUAGGUUCUAAAUGGAGGACGAACUGCGAGACAUGAAAGCACACAAAGCGUACUACAACAUGCUUCAUUUCGUUUCAGAUGCCCAACAGGGAAUUCCGAAGCUGUGCCCCUGUGGAUCUAUCACAAAGGAGUUUGUCGACGAAGAUGAUACAUAUGAUUACAUCCCGAGGAAAAGAUACUUCAUCUGCACAGACUACCAGAACGACGGGCUGCAUUUUAGGCAGCCAUGGGUAAUGGGUGUGCAACAAGAGAUUGAGAGGCUCAACCUAAAGUUUCUCGAGCAGGAGAAGCUCAUGCGCGAGUGCGAGGCGCUUAAGGUUAGUUUCUUACUUAACGUUGAAACUAAUUUUUACAAUCUUUCUAACAUAUUGUUUUGUCUCUGAUGUCUCUUCAUGUUCAGGUUAAGAUGCUUCUUGAGCGUGUGUGUGAACUUGAGAGAGUCCGCUGAGGUGAAGUACAAGACCAUGUGCUUGUUGAAGACUAAAGCUGGUAUCUUUCUGUUUGUAUUUUCAGUCACGGGUGGUUUGUCUCUUUCUCCUGUUAUUUAGAAAUCAACCAAGUCACGGGCUAUUUGUAUCUUUCUGUUUGUAUUUUGAUGUGGACCAAGUCAUGUACCAUGUUGCCUUUAUAAGUCUCUUUGUAGACUCGGAUGUUUAGUGAACCAAGUGUGCUUCUUCUUCCUUGUAUUGUCUUAAAAACGGAUGUAAAAUGAUGUUUUAGUGUUUUCUGUUUCCUAUGCUCUUCUUUGCCUUCUACUACAUAUUUACAAACCAAAAUAAUAAACAAGGCUCGAUACACAACAACCAUUACAAUCAAUCGAUACACAAAAAGGCUCCACUCAUCCCACUGCAUCCUGUAAUAUUUACGUGCUUUGCAUUUUGUAUGCUGACUUUUCUACAUCUAUGUCGCCUCAAAAUUUUGACAACAUGAUAAACUACAACAUUAUUGAGCCUCAAUAUAAAAUUUCAUGUAGAAUUGUAUUCAUAAAUUUAAAGUGUUCCUAGUAAUUGAGCUAAUGAUUUAGAAAAACACAUUCUAUAAUUGUAGAGAACGGUUUUAGAUUUAAAAAAUAUGCUAAAACACAAUUUUGUAAGAUUGAAAUGUUUUCUUCAUUAAUCUAAAUAAUUUUUGAAGGAAGGAUAGGUAAAUAUGGCAGAUGAAGUCGACCGAAGACUCGAUGCGGCUGUCAAUGAGGCUUUUGAUGAAUAUUUUGAAGACACAUACAACAACAUCGUGGAGAAUCAAGCAGAUAAAAAGAAGAAACGUGCAUAUGUCGAACGAAACCGCGAAGCGGGCCAUAACCGUCUAUGGAAUGACUAUUUUAGUGAAAAUCCGUCAUUUCCGGAAAAUUUAUUCAGACGUCGUUUUCGCAUGAACAAGCAAGUAUUCAUGCGUAUUAUCGACACCCUCUCAGCAAAUGUUCCAUUCUUUCAGCAAAGGAGAGAUGCGGUCGGACGGUUGGGUCUAUCUACACUACAAAAGUGUACGGCGGCUAUUCGUAUGCUUGCUUAUGGCUGUGCGGCUGACGCCGUCGACGAGUAUCUCCGACUCGGUGAAAGCACCGCACUUUCAUGUUUAACCCAUUUCACAGAUGCCGUCAUUCUAUUAUUUGGAGAAGAAUAUCUAUGGAGACCCAUUCCUGAGGAUCUUCAACGUUUACUCGAUAUUGGAGAGAUCUGCGGCUUUCCGGGGAUGAUUGGAAGCAUCGACUGUAUGCAUUGAGAGUGGAAAAAUUGCCCAACCGCUUGGAAAGGACAAUACACACGUGGAUCAGGAAAGCCGACACUUGUUUUGGAGGCUGUAGAGUCACAAGAUCUUUGGAUAUGGCACGCUUAUUUCGGUUCUCCAGGUACCUUAAACGAUAUUAACGUCCUUGAUCGAUCACCUGUAUUGAUGACAUUUAUCAAGGUCGAGCUCCAAGGGUAACGUACAUGGUCAACGGACACCAGUAUGAUUUGGCGUACUACCUCACGGACGGUAUAUAUCCAAAAUGGUCAACAUUUAUCCAAUCUAUCACACUCCCUCAAGGUCCUAAAGCAGAGUUAUUUGCUAAAGUUCAAGAAGCUACCCGAAAAGAUGUGGAGCGUGCUUUUGGUGUAUUGCAAGCUCGAUUUGCGAUAGUGAAAAACCCAGCCAUGUCAUUGGACAAGGAAAAAAUAGGGAAGAUUAUGAGAGCAUGUAUCAUACUGCAUAGUAUGAUUGUCAAAAAUGAACGGGGUGGAUACACUCUGUACGAUACAUCUGAAUUUGAAGAAGGAGACUCGAGCAGAAGUUCACAUGUUGAGCAUAUUAACAACAUGCCUACCCAUUUCGGUAAUAUGCUUGGUCGACGGAAUCAUGUUCGAGAUAGGCGUACACACGAAGCAUUGAAAAAUGAUUUAAUCGAAAAUAUUUGGAACAAGUUUGGUGAUGAUGAAGAUGUAUAAUUAUUGUAUGUUUGCUUUUAAUCAUUGAAUAAAAAAAAUUAAAAUUAAAAUUUUUAAAAAAUUUAAAAUUAAAAUUUUUUAAAAAUUUAAUAAUUUUAAAUUCCUAAGGAUUUCAUUUUGAGUAACACCAUUGGGCAUACAUUUUAGACUCAAAUCCUUAACUAUUCAAAAAGCAUAAAAAAUACUAUUAUAAUCCUACGGACUCCAAUGGUGGGUAACACCAUUGAAGUUGCUCUUAAGGAUCGAUAACUCUCUUUUAAUUUUGCUUGGAUUUAAUUAAAUCACCAUUUUUCUUUAUGGACCCCUUUAAAAACCACCGAUAAUCAUGGUCUAAGAGCAUCUUUAUCCACCGUAUUUAGCUGGGGUUCUUAUGUUAUUUAGGAAUUAAAAUAAAAGAAAAUUAGCUUAUAUGUGAAGACACGUCUCUUAUUUGGAGACUACAAGAGACGGAUCUUACGAACAUGCGUCCCUUUUUGCGACUUUUGCUCUCCUUCUUCCCCGACUUAGCUCUUCUUCAGUUUCUCCCAAUUCGCAGCGAGAGAGAGAGAUGGCGCCGCCGGCAACGGAGCGGAGAAACAAAUCAUCAGACCCGGGACCGGUCCCAAACCCGCCCCGGGUCAAACCGUCACCGUUCACUGCACCGGAUUCGGUAAACCUCUCUUUAUCUUUGAAACUUCCCAUUGUAGGAAAAAUCGAUCUUACAAAAAAAUUCUGCUCAGCUGAUGUGGUAGUGGUUGGAUGUUUCGCUAUUUGUGUUCGAUUACUUUCUGGAGAAAUCUAUUUAAUUAGGGUUUAUGUUCUGAGAUCAGAGUGAGUAUGUGUGUGAGAACUUGUUGAUGAACUGGUGGUGAUCUAAUAAUAAAUCGACCUCUUGGAGUAGUAAGCUUAAUUAUCUAAUAAUAAUAAUACAAGUUUCUUGUAUGAGAUUGAAACUCUCUAUAUAUGCCCUUUGUUUCGAAAUCGUAAUUUGUAAUGCUUUGUGUUUUGUUUCAGGGAAAGGUGGUGAUACAUCCCAGCAGUUCUGGAGGUAAAAAGAUCAUCUCACACACAUUGUUGCUUUAUGGUUUUGUCUUUUCUUGUUAAUUUUGUUAUUUCGUUAAGCCUAAAUGUGUGUUUGGACUUUGGUAUAUGAAUAACACAAAGGACGCUGGGCAAAAGCCUUUCUCCUUCCAAAUCGGUAAACGUGCUGUCAUCAAAGUUAAUAUUUUCCUCUGUUUUGUGGUUUGAUCAUAUUGUUAUGGUUCUGUUAUUCUUUCCAUAACAAGAGCUAAUAUGA